AUGGCGUCCAGGAGAGAGAUGCCUUGCUCCUUCUCCAGAUGGUGAAAAGCUUUGUGAAGCAAGCGUAAAAUCUGUCAUUGUUGAUGAAAAUGGGAAGUCUUUUGCAGUUGUCUUAUAUUCAGAUUCUCUAGAAAAGAAAAUACCUCUUAAAAAACUUCGAGAAGUAAAAUCUGUUAAAAUAUGCUCCAAGAAUUUUGUAUUUGAUGAUGAAGAUUUGGAAAAACCUUACUUCACAGAUCAAAGAUUUCCAUCUUCUGCUGUUGCUUUCAAAUUAUCUGAAGAUGGAGACUGUAUUCCUUAUACUAUUAAUAGGUAUUUGAGAGACUACCAAAGAGAGGGAGUCCAGUUUCUUUAUCGACACUACAUCCAAGGAAGAGGGUGUAUUCUUGGUGAUGACAUGGGACUUGGAAAAACAGUACAGGUUAUUUCAUUCUUAGCUGCAAUUCUGCAUAAAAAAGGAACUCGUGAGGAUAUUGACAAUAACAUGCCGGAGUUUUUACUAAGAACUAUGAAAAGAACAAUCCCUUCUUAUACAGCAAAAAAGAUGUUCUUAAUAGUCGCUCCUCUUUCAGUCCUCUACAACUGGAGAGAUGAAUUGGAUACUUGGGGAUAUUUUAAAGUUACUAUAUUACAUGGUAACAAAAAAGAAAAUGAACUGAUUCGAAUAAAGCAGGGUAAAUGUGAAAUUGCUUUAACAACUUAUGAAACACUGUGCUUAUGUCUGGAUGAACUUAACAGUUUGGAAUGGUCAGCCAUCAUUGUAGAUGAAGCUCACAAAAUAAAGAAUCCAAAGACUAGAGUAACAAAAGUUAUGAAAGCUUUAAAGUGUAAUGUCCGCAUUGGACUCACUGGAACCAUUCUUCAAAACAACAUGAAAGAACUAUGGUGUGUUAUGGACUGGGCUGUACCGGGACUUCUGGGCAGCAGGAUUCACUUCAAGAAGCAUUUUUCUGACCCAGUAGAACAUGGUCAGAGACACACAGCUACAAAAAGAGAACUAGCUACAGGCCGAAAGAUCAUGCACAGAUUGGCAAAAAAGAUAUCUGGCUGGUUUCUCAGGCGUACGAAGACUCUCAUCAAGGAUCAGUUGCCUAAGAAAGAAGACAGGAUGGUGUAUUGUUCUCUGACAGAUUUCCAGAAAACUUUCUAUCAAGCAGUAUUAGAGACAGAAGAGGUAACUUGGAUACUUCAGUCUUCUGAGCCUUGUUCCUGCAGUAGUGGUCGAAAAAGAAGAAAUUGCUGUUAUAAGAUCAGUUCACAAGGUGAAACAGUGAAAACUUUGUAUUUCAGUUACCUUUCAAUCCUUCAGAAAGUAGCCAAUCAUGUUGCUCUACUUCACACUGUGGGCACUUCAGAACAACAGAAAACAAUUAUUGAUAGGAUAUGUGAUCAGGUAUUUUCCAGAUUCCCAGAAUUUGUUCAGAAAAGCAAAGAUGCUGCUUUUGAAACAAUAUCCGACCCAAAAUACAGUGGAAAAAUGAAGGUCCUUCAGCAGCUUUUACAUCAUUGCAGAAAAAGCAAAGAGAAAGUUCUUCUUUUCUCUUUUUCCACCAAGUUGCUGGAUGUGCUGCAGCAAUACUGUGUGGCAGCUGGAUUUGAUUUCCGACGACUUGAUGGGAAUACAAAAUCAGAGGAAAGAAUCAAGAUUGUCAAAGAGUUCAACAGUACACAGGACUUUAAUAUUUGCCUUGUUUCCACAAUGGCUGGUGGAUUAGGCCUCAAUUUUGUUGGUGCUAGUGUUGUUGUAUUAUUUGACCCAACUUGGAAUCCAGCCAAUGAUCUUCAAGCCAUUGAUAGAGCAUAUAGGAUUGGACAAAGCAGAGAUGUCAAAGUGUUUAGGCUGAUAUCUGUGGGGACAGUAGAAGAGAUCAUGUAUUUACGACAAGUGUAUAAGCAGCAACUUCACUGUGCAGUAGUUGGAAGUGAAAAUGCCAAGCGUUACUUUGAAGCAGUUCAGGGAUCAAAAGAGCACUGCGGAGAGCUUUUUGGGAUCCAUAAUCUCUUCAAACUGAGAUCUCAAGGAAUUUGCCUUACGAAAGCUAUCCUGGAGAGAGAAGGUCAAGUAGAAGUAGGAAUCAUGUCAGCCACAACAUUUUGGAAAGAGGGACCCCCAACUCAAAAACUCAAAAUGCCUAAAGAGCCUGACAGUCAAGAACACAGAGGUCCAGGACGACAUGCAAAGCCCCAGACAGGAGAAGCCUACGAUUACUGCAGUGAUUUUAGUGACGAUGAGCCAGUGGGAAACUCAAGAAUAAAGACUGUUAAGAGCAAAGCAUCAUAUUCAAGUAGAGCUUCAAGUUGUCCAGGGCAGCUCACCUUACUCCAAUGUGGCUUCUCUAAAUUAUUCGAGACAAACUAUAAAGCAGUUGAGGAUAAUGAUGGAAAUGACACCUCUGAUGAUGAAAGCCUUGAUAAGCAGCCCAUGCACAAUUCAACAGAAGCCAAAGAUUAUAUGACUAUUGAUUAUCAGAAAAACCAGGACUCUGUUGGUACUUUAGAACAUGAGAAAAAAGCUUGCAUUGUAAAUCCAAAUGAAAGAUUUCUUUUUCCUAAAAGUGAAACUUUAAAACAGAUUAUUUCUUCUGAAUCUGAUGAUGAAAAAAAUGUUAAAAAUACACUUGAACACCAAGAUGUCUCAGAAUCAGAAGACAAUGAUGUUGUCUUUCCCACACAGAGAAUCCCUAAAUGUAGUGAAAGAUUUAAGCCACUUUUGGAUAUAUCUGAAUAUUCUAAUACAGAUAGCACUGUACAAGUAAGAAAUAAUUGUGAUGAACAAGAAAGUGGACCAGUUUCCAAAAAAUUAAAUCCUGAGUGCAUUGUUCUGAAAUCAGUCAAAAGAAAAGACACUAGGGAUAUUAGUGAUGAGUCUGAAGACAUUGAAAUAACUUCUCAGUCACAAAUAAGGAAGCACAGAGCUGCUAAUUCCUUGAGGCUUAAGAAAGAAAAGAAAAAGAACCGCAAAUUUCACAGUUUUCCGAAAACAAACAGAGUGUAUAUAAUAAGAAAGGAUUGUAGUUCUCUGACUAUUGGAGACUGCUCAUCUUCAGACGAGGAUUUAAAUAUCAGGCACAUUAGUGCUCCUAAAAAGAGUCAUGGACCAAAAGUUAUAAAAGAAGGAAUCUGUUUCUCUUCAGAGUUGCCUAGCCACAAUAAAAAAAGUAACACUCUUUUGCUAAGGAGACAAAUAAAUUUUUCAAAUGAGAAGCUUAUCAGUCAAGAGCAGACAUCUGAAUCCGUGGAUAAAUUUUUAGAUGGUGUUAAGGAAGUGGCUUAUGUCCACUCAAACCAAAAUGUGAUUGGAUCUAGCAAAGCUGAAAAUCGUAUGAGCCGAUGGGCAGCACGGGAUGUCUUUGAAUUGAAGCAGUUUUCUCAGCUUCCUGCUAACAUUGCUGUUGGAAGUUCUAAGACAUACCAAGAAAAAGUCAAGUUGAAUACAUUGACAUAUAGUGAGAAAAGCCAGCAACCAAAUGAAGGAAUUGAUGUUUUAUACCCCAUAAGCCAAAAGGAGAAGAAAAUCCACCACACAGACCGGACCACCUUCAUAAUUGGAAAAACACCAAAAGGGAUUCAAAGGAAACAAUUUGAAGAAGUGGCUUCUUUCUUUAAUGUGUCUUCUAUACUGGAAUUUGCAGAACAUGUAACUAAUGCAACAUCAGAAGAACGGCAGAAAAUUCUCAGUGACUUUUAUGCUUCUCAAUAUCCAGAAGGAAAAUAUUUUUUUGUUGUAUCUGCUUCAGAAUUAGCCAAAUCUACCCAUACAAAAGGAGAGAAAGUUAGGAAUAAAUUAGGAGAAAAAGAAUCUCUCGUAAAGGAAGGGCUAUUGUCUUCUGAAACUUUGUCAUUUGAAGAGUCUACUAGCAAAUGUUCUCAAGAUUGCAGCCCAGAAAUAUAUAAAGAAAAAUCAGUCAGGUUUCAAAAUUAUGAAGUCUGUAGAGAAAAGACAUUUUCUAAUGAUUCAGAAACUAAGAUGUUACUUGUUAAUUUUACUCAAGAGAUUGGCAGUGGGAUAAAAAGCCAGCUGUCCAAAAAUAGUGUGGCAUCUUGUUACCUAAACUGUGACUCUGAAGCAUAUGAUAGAAAGUUAGAAAAUAUGAAGGACCAACGGGAUUUAACAAAAAUGUGUGUUUCAAUAAAUGGACCCCUUUGCAAAUCAGAAACCAAAAAGAUAGACAAUCCAGUAUUAGAAAACACUUCUGUGGGAGAGUUACUUGGUGACACCUCUAUUCUUAAUGACCUCUUUAAAAGUCAUGAGAAUAGCCUCACACAACUGCCAAAGAAAGUUCUUUUAGAACCCAUAGAAAAAGCAAAACAGAGACCAAAAGAUUUCUGGGACGUGUUGAAUGAACAGAAUGAUGACAGUCUUAGUAAACUCACCGACUUGGCAAGAAUAGAGACUUUAUGUGAAAAAAUGCCCCUUGCUGCAUCUUCCAAAAGGGAAGAAGAGCUAGAAACUUCUCUUUGGAAAGCAAAUGAGAAUUUUUUGUGGAAAAAAACUAACUCAGAUAAUCCAGAUUGAAACACAGCCAGUAUGUAG